CGGAGGAUCCAAGCGUUAUCCGGAAUUACUGGGCGUAAAGAGUUGCGUAGGUGGCAUGACAAGUAGAUAGUGAAAGCGUGUGGCUCAACCAUACAUCCAUUAUCUAAACUGUUAGGCUCGAGUAUGAGAGAGGUAGAUGGAAUUCUCUAUGUAGGAGUGAAAUCCGUAGAUAUAGGGAGGAACACCAAUGGCGUAAGCAGUCUACUGGCUCAUUACUGACACUGAGGCACGAAAGCGUGGGGAGCAAACGGGAUUAGAUACCCCGGUAGUCCACGCCGUAAACUAUGGAUGCUAGCUGUUAGAGGUAUCGACCCCUCUAGUAGCGAAGCUAACGCGUUAAGCAUCCCGCCUGUGGAGUACGGUCGCAAGACUA
rnacentral:rRNA from 1 species